GACGAACGCUGGCGGCGUGCUUAACACAUGCAAGUCGAACGAUGACGACCGAGCUUGCUCGGUCUGAUUAGUGGCGAACGGGUGAGUAACACGUGAGCAACCUGCCCUUCACUCUGGGAUAACCUCGGGAAAUCGGGGCUAAUACCGGAUAUGAGCUCCUGUCGCAUGGCGGGUGUUGGAAAGUUUUUCGGUGAAGGAUGGGCUCGCGGCCUAUCAGUUUGUUGGUGAGGUAGUGGCUCACCAAGGCGAUGACGGGUAGCCGGCCUGAGAGGGCGACCGGCCGCACUGGGACUGAGACACGGCCCAGACUCCUACGGGAGGCAGCAGUGGGGAAUAUUGCACAAUGGGCGAAAGCCUGAUGCAGCGACGCCGCGUGAGGGAUGACGGCCUUCGGGUUGUAAACCUCUUUCAGCAGGGAAGAAGCGAAAGUGACGGUACCUGCAGAAGAAGCGCCGGCUAACUACGUG
rnacentral:rRNA from 1 species